rnacentral:rRNA from 1 species
UACGUAGGGUGCAAGCGUUAAUCGGAAUUACUGGGCGUAAAGCGUGCGCAGGCGGUUAUGUAAGACAGAUGUGAAAUGCCCGGGCUUAACCUGGGAACUGCAUUUGUGACUGCAUGGCUAGAGUUUGGCAGAGGGGGGUAGAAUUCCACGUGUGAGCAGUGAAAUGCGUAGAUAUGUGGAGGAACACCGAUGGCGAAGGCAGCCCCCUGGGUCAAGCUGACGCUCAUGCACGAA